AGUGAACGCUGGCGGUAGGCCUAACACAUGCAAGUCGAACGGCAGCACAGGAGAGCUUGCUCUCUGGGUGGCGAGUGGCGGACGGGUGAGGAAUACAUCGGAAUCUACUUUUUCGUGGGGGAUAACGUAGGGAAACUUACGCUAAUCCUGCAUACGACCUACGGGUGAAAGCAGGGGAUCUUCGGACCUUGCGCGAUUGAAUGAGCCGAUGUCGGAUUAGCUAGUUGGCGGGGUAAAGGCCCACCAAGGCGACGAUCCGUAGCUGGUCUGAGAGGAUGAUCAGCCACACUGGAACUGAGACACGGUCCAGACUCCUACGGGAGGCAGCAGUGGGGAAUAUUGGACAAUGGGCGCAAGCCUGAUCCAGCCAUACCGCGUGGGUGAAGAAGGCCUUCGGGUUGUAAAGCCCUAUUGUUGGGAAAGAAAUCCAGCUGGUUAAUACCCGGUUGGGAUGACGGUACCCAAAGAAUAAGCACCGGCUAACUUCGUGCCAGCAGCCGCCGCGG
rnacentral:rRNA from 1 species